CGCCUUGCCAGCCCGCUCAGAAACUCAAAUGAAUUGACGGGGGCCCGCACAAGCGGUGGAGUAUGUGGUUUAAUUCGAUGCAACGCGAAGAACCUUACCUAGGUUUGACAUCCGGAAGACCUUCCCGAAAAGGAAGGGUGCCCUUCGGGGAAUUCCGAGACAGGUGCUGCAUGGCUGUCGUCAGCUCGUGCCGUGAGGUGUUGGGUUAAGUCCCGCAAUGAGCGCAACCCUAUUGCCAGUUGCUACCAGGUAAUGCUGGGCACUCUGGUGAGACUGCCCCGGUUAACGGGGAGGAAGGUGGGGACGACGUCAAGUCAUCAUGGCCCUUACGCCUAGGGCUACACACGUACUACAAUGGCGCAUACAAAGGGCAGCGAUACCGCGAGGUGGAGCCAAUCCCAAAAAGUGCGUCCCAGUCCGGAUUGCAGUCUGCAACUCGACUGCAUGAAGUUGGAAUCGCUAGUAAUUCGAGAUCAGCAUGCUCGGGUGAAUGCGUUCCCGGGCCUU
rnacentral:rRNA from 1 species